CUCUCCCCUCACCUGGCUCUGUCUUGCUGCUUGGAUAAUCUCGGUUGUCCUGAAGAAGGUUGCAGAAAAAAUGGCACUUCCUGGAAAUUCCAGAUGUGGGAAGGGCAAAGAGGCUGGAGAACUGAAGCAGAGAGACCUCCUUUCUUCCCGGGGCGGGGGACCCAGUUCAGCUUCAAGUCCUGCCCGGAUGUGCGGUGGAUUUGCUGUAAUCCCAAAUUAAUGCUCGGAGACACUCACUGAGGAUAGCCACGACAAAAAUAGGUAACAGGGGUGCUCACUCUGCUCCCAGGACCUCUUCAAGCCCUUUACAUAGCUCAUCCCAUUUAA